UGGCUCAGGACGAACGCUGGCGGCGUGCUUAACACAUGCAAGUCGAACGGUGAACCUCCCUUCGGGGAGGGGAUCAGUGGCGAACGGGUGAGUAACACGUGACCAACCUGCCCCUGGCUCUGGGAUAACCCCGGGAAACCGGAGCUAAUACCGGAUAUGAGUUCGCGCGGCAUCACGCGGACUGGAAAGUUUUUCGGCCAGGGAUGGGGUCGCGGCCUAUCAGCUUGUUGGUGGGGUAACGGCCCACCAAGGCGACGACGGGUAGCCGGCCUGAGAGGGCGACCGGCCACACUGGGACUGAGACACGGCCCAGACUCCUACGGGAGGCAGCAGUGGGGAAUAUUGCGCAAUGGGCGAAAGCCUGACGCAGCGACGCCGCGUGAGGGACGACGGCCUUCGGGUUGUAAACCUCUUUCAGCAGGGAAGAAGCGAAAGUGACGGUACCUGCAGAAGAAGCACCGGCUAACUACGUGCCAGCAGCCGCGGUAAUACGUAGGGUGCAAGCGUUGUCCGGAAUUAUUGGGCGUAAAGAGCUCGUAGGCGGUCUGUCGCGUCGGAUGUGAAAACCCAGGGCUCAACCCUGGGCCUGCAUUCGAUACGGGCAGACUAGAGUUCGGCAGGGGAGACUGGAAUUCCUGGUGUAGCGGUGAAAUGCGCAGAUAUCAGGAGGAACACCGGUGGCGAAGGCGGGUCUCUGGGCCGAUACUGACGCUGAGGAGCGAAAGCGUGGGGAGCGAACAGGAUUAGAUACCCUGGUAGUCCACGCCGUAAACGUUGGGCGCUAGGUGUGGGGAACCUUCCACGUUCUCCGUGCCGCAGCUAACGCAUUAAGCGCCCCGCCUGGGGAGUACGGCCGCAAGGCUAAAACUUAAAG
rnacentral:rRNA from 1 species